rnacentral:rRNA from 1 species
AACGAACGCUGGCGGCAUGCCUAACACAUGCAAGUCGAACGAGACGGUCCGGUCUAGGGGCGCACGGGGGCGUAACGCGGGGGAACCUGCCCGUAGGUUCGGAAUAACUCCCCGAAAGGUGUGCUAAGACCGGUUAAGGUCUUCGCACCAAAGAUUUAUCGCCUUUGGGUGGGGGCGCGUUGGAUUAGCUGGUUGGGAGGGUAAAAGCAUACCAAGGGCACGAUCCAUAGCUGGUCUGGGAGGAGGCUACGCCACGCUGGGGCUGCGACCCGGCCCAGUAUGCUACGGAACGCAGGAGUGGGGUGUAUUGGGGAAUGGACCCAAGCCUGAUCCAGCCACGCCGCGUAAGUGAUCAAGCCCUUUGUGUUCUACUGCUCCUUUACACGGGAUGUUAAUGACAGUACUGGGAGAAUAAGCACCGGCUAACUACGUG